ACGAAGGGGGCUAGCGUUGUUCGGAUUUACUGGGCGUAAAGCGCGUGUAGGCGGGUCGUUAAGUUGGGGGUGAAAUCCCGAGGCUCAACCUCGGAACUGCCUUCAAAACUGGCGACCUGGACUCAAGCAGAGGCAAGUGGAAUUGCGAGUGUAGAGGUGAAAUUCGUAGAUAUUCGCAGGAACACCAGUGGCGAAGGCGACUUGCUGGGCUUGUAGUGACGCUGAGACGCGAAAGCGUGGGGAGCAAACGG
rnacentral:rRNA from 1 species